rnacentral:rRNA from 1 species
UACGGAGGGGGCUAGCGUUGUUCGGAAUUACUGGGCGUAAAGCGCACGUAGGCGGCUUUGUAAGUUAGAGGUGAAAGCCCGGGGCUACAACUCCGGAAUUGCCUUUAAGACUGCAUCGCUAGAAUUGUGGAGAGGUAAGUGGAAUUCCGAGUGUAGAGGUGAAAUUCGUAGAUAUUCGGAAGAACACCAGUGGCGAAGGCGACUUACUGGACACAUAUUGACGCUGAGGUGCGAAAGCGUGGGGAGCAAACAGG